CACUUCUAUGGGAGUUCCGAAAAUAACCAAGCAAGUGCGCUCUCCUAUUUUCGGAAGUCCCAUAGAAAUUAACUGCAUGGCCACCGCUCAAUUCGCUUCUAUGGAACUUCAGGAAACUUUCGGAACUCCCACAGAAAUGAGAGGAGGGCGGCCGCGCGUGCACAGCACGUUCUCCUUCACUUUGGGAGCUCUGUUCUAGAGGUGGGACCUUCACCCAUCUGACAUUGAUUGCAUAUCCUAGCACUUUUCCACCAGUGUCUGAGACGAGACAUCUCCUUUAAGUAGUUCAGAAUUAUAAAAUUAUGUCUGCUGGCACCUGCCACUAGAGGGAGCUCACAGGAAUUUAAGCAUCACACAUCUCCCAUUUUCCAAAGGGCCCUCAAGGUCAGGAUUCCACAAACAGCAACCUAGGAGUGUAACGGAAAAAGAUUGUAGAUGUGUGCACAUGAUAAAGCACAGCCACAGAGGCCUUCAUGGCGAUAUAAUGUGGACUUUAUAUGGGAGUACUAUUUACACACUCUUAAUUUAGGCACUGAAUGGUAAUAUUGUGUGACAGUAUGUAGCAGUGAGAUGAAGGUAGUAUAGCUUAGGUACUGUUUUGCAGUAUUAUUGAGCCAUUAUAUGGCAGCAUUAUAAAUUACCUUUACCAAAGCAAAAAAAAAAAAAAAUCUCAUUAUAAAAAUUUGAAAUUUCAGCCUU